rnacentral:rRNA from 1 species
UACGUAGGGGGGCUAGCGUUGUCCGGAAUCAUUGGGCGUAAAGAGCGCGUAGGCUGCUCGGUAAGUCCGCUGUAAAAGUCAAAGGCUUAACCUUUGAAUGUCAGUGGAAACUGCCGGGCUAGAGUCCGGAAGAGGCGAGUGGAAUUCCCGGUGUAGCGGUGAAAUGCGCAGAUAUCGGGAGGAACACCAGUGGCGAAGGCGACUACCUGGCCUGUUUCUUGACGCUGAGGCGCGAAAGCUAGGGGAGCAAACGGG